rnacentral:rRNA from 1 species
AUGCUCGCUCCAGAUGUUCCUCACAGUGUUGACCGAUAUGUGAUGGAUAUACUUUAUGGCGCUGUCCUGUUUGACAUGGAUGGAAUGCUCAGCAUGCCCAUUCUUACUGAUGAAUUUACCAGCAUUGGUAUCUGGGCUAUGCAAGACUAUGAAAAUGAGGUCUGGACCUCAAAAUACCGGGUCGAAUUGCCACUUGCGGACCUCACCGUGCAGUUUGGAAAGUUUAACCCAUGUAUUCAUGGAGUGCCCGCUUUUUUGGAUGGUGACGUGAUCAUCCUGGUCCAGUUUGGUGAUUGGCUACUUCAGUUUGACAUGGAUGGCAAGUUGGUUGCCAAUUUGCGCAACUGCAGAGGCCUCUUUCCUACUCGACAUCAACUCAAGCAAACUCUUGUUCAGCAUACCUUCUUUCCGACACUAGAGGGUUAUGCUGUCAAUGCUUCACCUUUCAUCUGA